CGGUCUGAGAGACUGAUGGUGGCACCCACACAAACCCAUGAUAGACCCCAAUGCUGAUAUCCCCUCCUCCAGCUCCCAUCAGCAUCCAGGGCACUCAUCCAGUGGUGCUGUGCCAUGCCUGUGCUCCACCCCCCGUCCAGCACUCCCACUUUAGCCAAUGGCCUCCCUGCUUCUAAGUGUACCCAUGAAGCUGAUCCCAGAUCACUCCCUGGUAUGUCACUCGACUACCUAAAACCCUCCUCGCCGGCUCCACACUGCCCUCAGGAGAGGGAGGGCUCCCUGCUCCUCACCGGACCCACAAGGCCCUCCCUGGCAGAGCCCUUGUCCAGAACAGGGCCUCUUGGGACACCAUAAUCAGCAGACCCACUCCUGCCUCCUCCUACAAGGAGGCUACAAGGCUAAGCAUGUGGAUGAUCCUUACUAUGACGCUGUUGAUUCAGGAUUCAGAGGAAACGCCCAGUACUUCCUGAGUACACAGAGGUACUGAGUAAAUGCUAUUUUUGUGAUUACUGACCCAAGGCUCGCGCAG